rnacentral:tRNA from 1 species
GCCGUUAUAGCACAGUGGUAGUGCAAUCGCCUUGUAAGCGAUAGGUCGGGAGUUCGAAUCUCUCUAACGGCACCA